rnacentral:lncRNA from 13 species
CGUAAUUCAUCAUCUACAAAACAAAGAGAGUAAUUCUAACUUAAUAGAGUUGACAUAAAGCUUUCUUAAGGAUAUUGGUGAAACCCUCAUACCACCCACUACACAUCUAUACUAAAUGCUCAACAAAUGUGAAGGCUGUUACUGUGAUGAUGAUGGUGAUUAUGACACGUGCUGACCUCAUGUUCUCUGUGAGCAGACCUGGGUAGCCUCCUUACUUGCUCCACUUGCUUCAGAAAGAGAAGAGCAGGUGUGUGGGUUAGUGAAGGAGAAAGGCCCAUGUGAAUAGAAGAGUGCAAGGUAGAGCAGGAAGAAAGAUCCAGCUAGAGAAAGAGGCAGAAGUCAAAUUAAGAAGAUUUUAAUUUUAACUUUUUAAUGGCUUCUUGGUGGCUUCAAGAUAUAAAUAAUGAAUUCUUUGGAGGGUGGAGAGACACAACCCCUGACUUCUGUCUUUCUCCUUGCCACGCCUGGAAAUCUGCUUAUUACAGCAUUGGGAUUGGAUGAUUCCCAAACUAGAAUUCAGUCCAUUGACCAUGACUCAGCAGGCAAAGUGACAAUUGUUGAGUGGAUGUUUGAUCUACAUAGGAUGAUAGCUGUUCAGAGUGGCCUCCUCACUGCUAUACAGACACCUCUGGACUUGUCCUGA